rnacentral:rRNA from 1 species
AAUCAACGCUGGCGGCGUGCCUCAGACAUGCAAGUCGAACGAUUAAAGCUCUCUUCGGAGAGUGUAUAAAGUGGCGCACGGGUGAGUAACACGUAAGUAAUCUACCUUCGAGUGGGGAAUAACGUCCGGAAACGGACGCUAAUACCGCAUAAUGCAGCGGCAUCGCAAGAUGACAGUUGUUAAAGAUUUAUCGCUUGAAGAGGAGCUUGCGGCAGAUAGCUAGUUGGUAAGGUAAUGGCUUACCAAGGCUACGAUCUGUAACCGGUCUAAGAGGACGGUCGGUCACACUGACACUGAAUAACGGGUCAGACUCCUACGGGAGGCAGCAGUCGGGAAUUUUGGGCAAUGGGCGAAAGCCUGACCCAGCAACGCCGCGUGAAGGAUGAAGUAUUUCGGUA